AUGAGCCUGAUUGUUGAGACAAUCAAGAGGACUGCUGCUGAUCAGAAGAGGAGUUGUGGGUAUGCUCCACACAUUCAGGAGCUCAUUAACUCAAAGAUGGGCACAGGCACAUAUCUUCUGGACAAGGAACACCUGCCCAUCUAUCCUGAAUUUGAAGACAUCACCGUGGUGAUGGAUGAAAAUGAACCAUCUUCAGCUCAAGAACAUGAGAAGAGAGAGAAGGCAAAGGCAGAGAAAGCUGCAAAGAUGCCAACUAUUGAAGAGGCAUCUCAAGUGUUCUUGAAAUCCAAACAAGAUCAACUUGGAUAUCUGAUCCAAUCCACCUUGAGGAUUGAGGAGGGCUUGGCCACCCUGACAAAGAACCAGGAGAUUUUGGAGAGGAUCAUUGAGCAGAAGUUCUAUGAUCUGGAUGUCAAUGUAACUAAGAUUCAAACUGCAGUUGAGCAGCUACAGGAGGAAGCAGAGGAGUGGAAGGGCAAGUCUUCUACUGAUGCUUUCAAGCGAGUGCCAUGA
rnacentral:rRNA from 1 species